UACGUAGGGGGCAAGCGUUGUCCGGAUUUAUUGGGCGUAAAGGGCGCGUAGGCGGUUUCUUAAGUUUGGAGUGACAGUGGGUGGCUUAACUACCCAAGGCCUUUGAAAACUGGGGAACUUGAGGACCAGAGAGGGACAUAGAAUUCCGGGUGGAGUGGUGAAAUGCGUAGAUAUUCGCAAGAACACCAGUGGCGAAGGCGGCUCACUGGCCCGGUACUGACGCUGAGGUGCGAAAGCGUGGGGAGCAAACAGG
rnacentral:rRNA from 1 species